CAAUAGCGUAUAUUAAAGUUGUUGCGGUUAAAAAGCUCGUAGUUGGAGUUCUGCCAGGUGCCGCCUGUCCGCCCCAGUGGUGAGUACGUGGCGCGCAUUUGGCCCUUUCAAGGGGAGCGUAUCUGCACUUUAUUGUGUGGUGCGGGAUCCUUGACUUUUACUUUGAGGAAAUAGGAGUGUUCCAAGCAGGCUCUCGUCGUGCACAGCUCAGCAUGGAAUAAUAGCAUUGGACCUCGAUUCUAAGCUGUUGGUUGCCAGAAGCGAGGUAAUGAUGAAGAGGGAUAGUUGGGGGCAUUCGUAUUUAACUGUCAGAGGUGAAGUUCUUGGAUUUGUUAAAGACGGACUACUGCGAAAGCAUCUGCCAUGGAUGUUUUCAUUGA
rnacentral:rRNA from 1 species